rnacentral:tRNA from 1 species
UGUGGUGUAGCUUAGUGGCAGAGUGCUUCCCUGACAUGUGAGGAGUCCUGGGUUCAAUCUCCAGUGCCAUAA